rnacentral:rRNA from 1 species
GACGAACGCUGGCGGCGUGCUUAACACAUGCAAGUCGAACGAAGUGGCGAACGGGUGAGUAACGCGUAAUCAACCUGCCCUUCAGAGGGGGACAACAGUUGAAAACGACUGCUAAUACAGAAUACGGAAGGGGGGGAUUGCGUGUGAUUAGCUAGUUGGAGGGGUAACGGCCCCACAAGGCGAUGAUCAGAAGGCGGUCUGGGAGGAGUAACGGCCAAAUUGGGACUGGGGAACGGGCCCGACUUCUUCGGGAGGCAGCAGUGGGGAAUCUUCCGGCAUGGGCGGAAGUCUGACGGAGCAACGCCGCGUGAGGGGUGGCGGCCUUCGGGUUUUUAAGCUCUUUUCAUCGGGGAGCGGUACCUGAAUAGAAAGCCACGGCUAACUACGUGCCAGCAGCCGCGGUAAUUC